UUCCACAGACAUAUUACCCUACAGCCUAAAACCGGUUACUCACUGAAGCUAAGCAGGGCUGAGCCUGGUCAGUACCUGGAUGGGAGACCACAUGGGAAAACUAGGUUGGAAG
rnacentral:rRNA from 1 species